rnacentral:rRNA from 1 species
UACGUAGGUGGCAAGCGUUGUCCGGAUUUAUUGGGUUUAAAGGGUGCGUAGGUGGGUUUGUAAGUCAGUGGUGAAAUCUCCAAGCUUAACUUGGAAACUGCCGUUGAUACUAUAAAUCUUGAAUGUUGUGGAGGUGAGCGGAAUAUGUCAUGUAGCGGUGAAAUGCUUAGAUAUGACAUAGAACACCAAUUGCGAAGGCAGCUCACUACACAAAGAUUGACACUGAGGCACGAAAGCGUGGGGAUCAAACAGG